rnacentral:miRNA from 1 species
CACCCCAAAGAGUGUCAUUCA